rnacentral:tRNA from 1 species
ACCUGACUGGCUCAGUCUGUGGAGCAGGAGACUCUUGAUCUCAGGGUUGUGGGUUCCAGUCUCAUCUCGGGUG